GGUGUGUGUGUGUGUGUGUGUGUGUGUAUGUUGUGUAGGUGAUAAGAUGUGUGUUUGUGUGUGGUAUGUGAAUGCUGUGUUAGUAUGCUUGGAGGAGAUGGCAUAUUAUUGAGCCAAACUCUUCUGUGGCUGUCAGUUUAGGGAAGCUUGAGCAUUAAACAGCCUUUUCCCACCCAGACCUGAAGGGUGCUUGAGUCCCAGUAGGAGCUGAGAAACUCAAAUUUCAGGAACAGAAGGGCAUUAUUCCAGAGGGUUUUUGUUUGUUUAUUUGUCUGUUUAUUUUCUUUAAAGAUUGGUUCAACAGUCUAGUGGUUAGGGUGGUUUUUCACCCAGACCAGGGUAGGUGAACAUAGAUUUUUCUAAAGUAAAAUAAGAAGCUUCUUUCUGCUAAAGAAAGGAUCCUUAUGGGAGGAUCUAGGGUUCAGCUGACCUCCCUACCCACCCCUGUGAACCUCCUCUGACCCUUGGGAAUCAAGGGUGGCCUGUCUUAGUAAUCAUGGAGACUGGGUGAGCCUGAGCACUGAACUGUUGGUGAGAAUCUGAGAUGGCAUUUUUCAUAGUCAUUGAGGCAGGAUUCAUUGCCCAGAAAAUGAGGGAAUAGACAGGAGCAGCAUGGUCUUGGCUAUCGCCUAAUCCAAUGAGGUAGGGGUGCAGUACUUCAGGGAAAAAGAAGGGAGACAUGGCACCUUUUAGCUUUUCUCUGACAACACCUGAGGUCUUUUGGGGGAGACGCUGAGGAGUGUUCAUUGCCUUGUGUUCUAGCUUUGUGCUGGUACUCCCAUUUGAUGUGGUCCCUGCAAGCAGGGAUACCUUUCUGCAUGUGAGCCCUUCCUGUUACAAGGUUUUGCUGGGGCUAGAAUUUUUCUUAUCAUUCACCUCUGCAAAGGAGGAUACAUUAAGAAUUUUAUCCUUCCAAAAGUGCUUUUGAAAAUGGAAGCACAUCUUCCCCUCCACUUGGCAGGUAGACGAGAAUGCUUGUGGAGAGAAUCACUUGAGUGACCCAUGCCUCUACAUGUACAAAUAUGUACUAGGUCAGAUGUGCCCUGAAACCAGGCAUGGUGGGGCACACCUGUCAUACCAGCACUGGACAAGCUUAGGCAGGAGAAUUGCAAAUUCAAGGCCAGUCUGGGCUACAUAGCGACACCUUGUCUCAAAAACUCAAAUAACAGUGUGACCUGGCUUCUGCAGACCUUGGCUUCCUGCCUGGAGAGGAAUCUUCUGAGCACGUGUGCAAAUAGUUAUACUAAAACCUCCCCUGCCAGGGUUUAGGUGUGAGAACUCAGGAGCAGGUCAUUGGUCCAUUUGUUCAGAUGCUGACGUUUUGGGGCAAUGGAUGUGAAGAGAGAUGAGCAGAGGGGUAGAGUAGAGAAUGAUUGAACACCCAGAGGGCCCAGGAACCCCAUGUCUACCCUGUGGAAACCACAGACAGACCACUGCAAAGGCUCCUGGACCCAAUACCCUACCUAACCUGCUGGGGUAGGGACUAGCACUGGAAAGAUGCCUCAGGUGUGUUUGGAGUGAGGGGAAUGGAGAUAGGGCAGGCACUUAGUACCUGAACUUGGGGGACCUGGGGAAGAGUUCUAGUCCCUGGAUGGGCCCCUGCACCAGGUCUUACCAGGCUUGCCCUUGCCAGCACCCUUCUUUUCCAUCCACCCCCAACAGCCUCUUAUCAUCACUUAGCUACUGAUUGAUUGUGCCCCAUGGCUUGACAUUUGAGGGUUAGAAGAGUGAACUCCCACUACAGAAUCUAACCCUCUCCCCAGAUGCACAUUGCCUGUGCCAUUGGCCCCGGGGCUUUUAUCUUCAAUCCCCUUCCUGCCCUUACCACCUUUUUUUUUUUUAAUAUACUUAUUUUGCUAUGGGGGAGGGGACUAUCAAAUGAACAAGAUCACUUUUAAAUGGUAGUUUUUAUAAGAUGUUAUAAACUUGUAUCUUUUUACCAUUAAAGUGCAGUGUAUGUUCCUUCGUGAUAUAUUUAGGGUAUUUAAAUAAAAGAAUGGGGCUUUUCUACAUUA